GCGAGCAUAGCUCAGUUGGUAGAGCGCCACCUUCCCAAGGUGGAAGUCGAGAGUUCGAGACUCUCUGCUCGCUCCA
rnacentral:tRNA from 1 species